rnacentral:lncRNA from 1 species
CCAGUUGUAGUGUUCUUACAUGGAUUCCCUGAAAUAUGGUAUUCUUGGAGGCACCAGAUGAUAGCUGUAGCCAGAGCUGGUUACAGAGCUAUUGCACCAGAUUUCAGAGGAUAUGGGUUAUCGGGUCAGCCACCCCAACCCGAGAAAACCACCUUUCUUGAUCUUACCAAUGACAUCCUUGCACUUCUUGAUGCUCUCAAUAUCUCUAAGGUACUCAUCUUCUUUAAUUUUGAGAUAAACAAGUUUUCUUAAGUUCUUUUUUUUAUUUGUCGUAAUUGGUAGAGUUGUUGUCGAUGUGAUUACGAAGUCACGGAUUUAAACUGUUUAAACAGACUCUUGUAGAAAUGCCGAGUAAGGAGGAUUAGUAAUCCCACCCUCAAGGAGGGAUAGGAAAAACACAACAAUCCCGUGAUAAGUAAUCCCAGGAGGAGUUAUCCCAUACAUUUUGUUCCAACUUGAGAUAAGCUCCUCUUCUGAAUUAAUCCAGGAUUAUUUAUUCUUAUCUCUCCUACCAAGCGACCCCUAAUAGAUUCUUGUGGUCUGAUCCUGCAUAAGUUUUAGUGCGUCGUACUGACUUUUUUGGGGGUGGGGGUGGGGGUGGGGGUAUGUUUAAGGUUAAAAAUUCAUUCAUUUUGUUUCAUUUUCCAAUAAGAAACCACAUAAAGCUACAUAAUAAUAUGGUGUACGGUGAGGCAGAGGGUGUAGUAAAGACUGACAAGUGUGCUAAUGCAACUUGCAUCAAAAGAAUGUUAAAGUCGGAAUUUGAAUUCAGAAAUAGAAACAACUCCGGGGAUCAUAAGACUGCUUUUUAUUUUUAAGUAAUAGUUGAGGUGUGCGUAAGCUGGUCCAAAUAAUAUUGUUGUAAGUAAAAAGAAUGUUUAAGUUACUUAAGUGCUCUAAAAAUAUAGUAGUAAUAUGUUUAAUGGUUCAGAGAGAUUUAUCUUGAGAUUGUGUAAAACUAUAGACUGUAGUCCAGUUUUGAUAUUCUGAAGUUGCUUCCUCUUUGAUUUAUGUAUAACUUGUACACUUACCUUUUGUUUGGAGUUUUACCAAUUCCCUUUAUGCUAUUUUCCUCCAGAAAGCAAAAAUGAAAUUCCAGGGUAACGAGGUUUUAUGUAGUAUUUAAACUAGCAGUCUUGUUGAAGCAGCGACUCUUCAGCAACUAUCAAGAGAUUUUGUGAUUUGAACAAAAUCUAACUUAGGUUGACCUCAUUCCAUUUAUUUUGAGCAUAAUGUCACGAAUCGGGCUUUCUGUAUUUAGUAUACAGCGUCAAGCAGUUCCACUUUACCCUAUUGAUGAUGUGCCGAGAAGUGCAUUGUUGGAACUGGGUUGGAACUUAAGAAUAUAAACUCUAAGCUCAUAAUUCUUUAUAGCUCAGCCAAAUAACUUUUGCUUUAAAUAUGGAAAUUUUAGUUGUUAUAACUUAUAAGUUGAAUUAUAUUCCUGUUCCUACUCUCAUCUAUGUGCCUGCCCAUAAUGUAGGUUUUCCUCAUCGGUAAAGACUUUGGCUCUUUUAUCGUUUCACAAUUUGUCAAUCUGUAUGAGGAGAAAGUCUCUGGAUUUAUUGUAAUGGGGGUGCCAUUUUUGCCUCCGAAACCUCUCCAGUUUAAACAAGGCAUCCCUGAAGGCUUCUAUAUUUCGAGAUUUGCGGUAUGAUAAUACAGUUUUUUAUCUCUAAUUUGUUUUCGUCAUGAUUAUCAUUUAUAGCUCUAUCUUGAUCAAUCUUGGAUAUAUGUGUGUGUGUGAAUUAUUUGCAGGAACCAGGGAGAGCUGAAGCUGAUUUUGGUCGCCUUGACGCCAAAACAGUAGUGAGAAAUAUAUACAUUCUUUUCUCCAGAAGUGAAUUACCCAUUGCCAAUGAAAAUCAGGAAAUCAUGGACAUUGUGCAACCUUCAACUCCUCUGCCCCCUUGGUUCUCUGAGGAAGAUCUGACUGCAUAUGGUGCUUUGUAUGAGAACUCCGGAUUCCGAACUGCUAUGCAGGUUCCCUAUAGGUAUCAUGCACAAACAUCUACUGUUUGUUUUAUUCAAUGUUGCUCGGAGUCUUCAAAAAUGCCGUUGGGUGUGUGUUGGAUACUCCAAAAGCUGUGCAUCUUUGGAGGAUCCAACACUGGUGCAGCAUCAUUUUGAAUUGGAGGGUCCUAACAAUAUAGGUUUUAUUUGAACGGGAAAUUCCCCGUUCACCACUCUCUUCUCGUGUGAUGUUCAUUCACCGCCCUGGCUGUGGAGAUGCAAGCCUUUUACUUGAUAACUAAGAAAAUUCUAGGGAUAAUGGUGCUUGGUUUAGAACUCAGUGAACAAUCAAUCUGCCCCUAUACCAGGAGCGGCAGACUUGAGAAAUAAUUAAUUCCACUAUGUGCAUACAAGCAGCAAAUUCAAAUUAUAGGAAUUGCACAUGAGAGUUUGUGAAAAAUGCAUGUAGUAAAAUAGUCAAGGUGUUUGCUAGCUAACUCGAACCACCAUUAUAAAAGAAAAGAAAUUGUAGAAAUUGUUUUACGGGUUGAUUAACUACUGAACGUUUUCCUGUUUUUUCCUUGGCUGUGUAUGAAUUUCAUCUUGCAAUAGGUCACUGCAUGAAGAACUCAACAUUACAGAUCCAACCAUUCACGUUCCAGCACUGUUUAUUAAAGGAGAGAAAGAUUAUUUCCUCAAAUUUCCAGGAAUCGAAGAUUACAUUAGUGGUGGACUCCUCAAAAGUUUAGUCCCUAAUCUGCAGAUUGUUAACUUGCCAGAAGGAACCCAUUUUGUUCAAGAACAACUACCUGACGAAGUUAAUCCACUUGUGCUCGAAUUCCUUACUAAGAACAGCAAGCCUCAGUAAGGUCUCGCUGUUGUUGUUGCUCCGUCUACUAAGAAAAGAAGUUCCAAUAAAACAUUGUUAUUGUUACUGUUGUUAUUCUUCCGAGUUCCUACUACGAAGAAUAGUAAGCUUCAGUAGACUUAGUUAGUUGUGUUCUCUACAUAUGUAAUAUUUUGCUGCAGUGAGCCUGCAAUUACCAUGUUAUAAAAGCCAUAUUCUCUCUUUCUUGUUCUGUUAUAUUAUGAAUGUUGAGUUGAUCAUACCUUUCAUUCUACUCCUGUUCCUAUGUUACUAAUUCCUUUUUUCAACAGCAACAAAAAGUUUUUCACCUUAUAUGGAUUUAAUUCAGCAAAAAUUAAAUUCAUAACCAAUUACUAUACCUGCUAUUUUUAAAUUUAAACUUUAAGUCCAUUAUCCUGCUAACAAUGACAACCACAAAAUUAUGUAUAGCAGAAAAAUUGCCACUAAUAAUUAUAAGAAUUUGUCAUAGUAUUUUGCAAAGACUUUUUUGUUCCUCACUAAGAAUCCAUGUGCUUUAAAGUCGCAUGUGCCCUGUCUCAAUCAGUCAAGCUCUAUCGAUCAAUUAACUUUUUUUCCUUUUGGUAAAGGUUAACGGUCUUCUUCAAACAUUGGUGAAUACUGUUUGUUAUGCAAAGAUACUUUUCUACUUAGCAAUAAUAGUCACUCCGUCUGUUUCUGACUCUAAAAUAGGGACAAAUUUGAAAAGAAAUAUCUUUGUACUAUGUAAUAUGAUACAGAAUUAUUACUUAAGAAAAUCACAGUGAAGUAAUUUUCUUACAAACAGAGCAAAAUUGUCCUAACACAUAUCAAAAAAUGGAAGGAAUAGAGCACAAAUACAUUGAAGUGAAUGGGCUAAAGCUUCAUUUAGCUGAAACUGGAAGUGGGAAUUCCCCAGUUGUAGUGUUCUUACAUGGAUUCCCUGAAAUAUGGUAUUCUUGGAGGCGCCAGAUGAUGGCUGUAGCCAAAGCCGGUUACAGAGCUAUUGCACCCGAUUUCAGAGGAUACGGGUUAUCGGAUCAGCCACCCCAACCCGAAAAAACCACCUUUCUUGAUCUUACUAAAGACAUCCUAGCACUUCUUGAUGCUCUUAAUAUCUCUAAGGUACUCUUCCUCUUUAGUUUUGAGAAAAAGAAGUGGUUCAAGUUGUAUAAACGGUAAGACUGCAUACAAUAGAUCUCGGUGGUCCGGUCCUUUCUCCAGACUCCCCACAUAGCGGGAGCUCUAAUGUACCGUGCUCCCUAUUUAUUUUUAUCAUUAUUUAGUUCUGUAUAGCUCUCAAUCAAAUAGCUUUUGCUUAUAAAUUUAAAUUUUAGUUGUUGUAAGUUGAAGAUAAUAUCCCUGUUCCUAUUUUCAGCUCUGUAUCUGCCC